GAUUUGGCUGCCCAAAAUAUUUUACUCGCUGACGAUGGAAUUGCUAAAGCGGCCGAUUUUGGAAUGACGAGGAAAAUGUACUACGAGGAAAAUUACGAAAAAAAUGGACAGGGUUUAAUGCCGCUCAAAUGGAUGGCGAUUGAAUCCUUGACGGAUCGCAUCUUUUCCAGCCAAUCUGACGUGUGGUCGUACGGAGUUGUUCUCUGGGAACUCUUUUCUCUGGGAAAUAAGUUCCCUAUCCAGGCAUGGACGUCGGCCACAUUCUGUUGAAGGAAAUUCUAAACGGACAUCGGAUGGACAAACCAGCCCUUGCCCCCAAUAUCUUCAGGGAAAUGAUGAGAAAUUGCUGUAAACGGAUCCAAAGGAGACACCCACUUUCAGUCAAUUGGAGGAGAUUAUCUGCGGCCAAAUGGAGUCGUCAGUCACCGUUGACUAUUUGAACAUGAACGCGCCGUACGAAAAACAGAACGAAGAAAGAAAGAACGCAACCCAAAAGGAUCAUUUUGGACUGUCCAAGUUGUUGAGUGAAAACCCGAAAGCUCAACCGAAGGAAAAGUCAUCACGGUCCUCAUCUUUUCCCAUGCGAUUCUCAAAAAUAGAUGCGGAGGAAGAUUUAUCUUUAUAAACGUGAUUAGUCCAUGUUAUUGAACUGUCAAUGUCAUUGAUUAGUGGAAUUCUCGAUUUCUAUUUAUCUAAAUGAUUUGAAUUACCAUGUCUUUCUCUUUAAUUCAUUAAAAAAAUCUGACAAGCGUACAAUGUGCAUCAGGAAUCGGUGAAUCACCAGCAAUCAGCAACAGGUAUGACGUGCAUUUUUCAUUAUUCACUAGUCAUUGGUUGUCCCCAUCAUUUUCGAGUGUGCAGCCCUUUGCUUUUGGAUCCGUGAAUUUUUACUACGAGAUCUGUCUGUCAAUUUAAAAAUUUGCUAGUCU